UAAAGGUAGAUAAAUAUUAAAAUGAACAGUAGGAACUAUAUAUACUGUAUAUAUUUACUAGGUAGAUAUAGCCUGACUGCAUGUCAUGAGUAAUGCUAUUAUUGUUAUAUUAUUAUACCGCAAUUAUAUUACUUUCUCUGCAUGUGUGGUUAGAUGUGUUUUAUGUGUUUAACCUUUCUGUAUACAUACUGGAAUGAACCAAGGAAUUGUAGCCCUACUGCCGUUCUUUAAAAACUAUGUGAUCAUGUUUUUCUUCCAAACUCAUUGUUUUAGCACGCACGCUGACUUCCAUCAGUAAUGAUGAUAUAUAUACACUGAGUCAUUGGUUUGUAGGGGGAAAGAGUGGGUGAAUAUAAUUAUCUUGGUCUAACUUAUACUGUUUAUUAUAUCGCUAUUCGCAGCAAUAUCUUUCUCUGCUCCGAUUGCAACGCUGCCUCGUUCAAAAAUCAUAACACCGCCGCGGCCGCCACGUUUACCAGCCGGAGCCUCAAAUCAUGUCCCUUCGUGGUGAUAAAGAGGACACAGCCUGGUGUGAAGCUACAUUUAUUACGGAAGGAUGCCAGCCGGGAUCCGAACACGUCCGAUAUCAUCCAAGAGAAUGUGGCAGCUGAAGGGGGAGAGGCCAAGAAAGAGGCCAAGGGUGAAGACAUUUAGCCACCCCCCCUGAAGUACAUGGCAGCAUUCAACCUUCUUGGUGAGCUGCAGGAAUGUGCUUCCCAUUGCAGUGCACCAGCUCCAUGUACUGAUUUUGGGUGUGAACUUGAUGGGGUUGGAGGAAACUCGACUCGGCCAUCAAGCUCACCACAAUAUAACAUGAAAAGUGAAAAUUGCUGCACACAACAGUCUGCCGUCUGCACCGGGAGGCAAGGCAGCUCAAAGCCCAGGCUGUUACAACUCCUGGGCAGUUUUUGCCCAGAGCCAGCAAUUUUUUAGAUCCAAUAGGGAUGGAUUUUUUCUGAGGUCAGGUUCAACAUGCUGCAAGAUGCCAAGAUCUAAGCCUAGUAGAAGAUAUGGGUUACAAGAGAGGAGGUUUGCUCUGGCCUUAUACUAUCAAAGUCCAAAUGCUAAUAGAUUUCUGACCACAGUAUUUCACUUGUCUUCAGUUUCAA